rnacentral:miRNA from 12 species
UAAUUAGUGUUACUUUUAGAUAGCAUUUGCAUGGAGUGAAUAUUAGAACAAUUUACUUGUAAGUCAUUGAAGCAUAAGGUAUUAUGCAUGUGUGAAAUGUUAGAAUAAAUGUACUAAAUAAACCGG